GUAGUGCAUGGCCGCCGUCAGUUCGUACCGUAAGGCGUUCUGUUAAGUCAGAUAACGAACGAGACCCUCAUCCCUAUUUGCCAAGGUCUGUCCGCAGACCACGGGACUAUAGGGAGACCGCUGGCGCGAAGUCAGAGGAAGGCGAGGGCAACGGUAGGUCAGUAUGAUCCGAAUGCCAUGGGCUACACGCGCAAUACAAAGGACGGGACAAUGGGCUGCUACUCCGAGAGGAAGAAGCUAUCCCGAAACCCGUUCGUAGUUCGGAUUGGGGGCUGUAACCCGCCCCCAUGAAGCUGGAUUAGGUAGUAAUCGCGUCUCAACAAGGCGCGGUGAAUAUGCCCCUGCUCCUUGCACACACCGCCCGUCAAACCAUCUUAGUUGUGGGUGGGUGAGGCUACCUUGAUAAUGGGGUAUUCGAGCCUGCCUUCGACAAGGAGGGUUAAGUCGUAACAAGGUAUCUGUAGGGGAACCUGCAGAUGGAUCACCUCCU
rnacentral:ncRNA from 1 species